rnacentral:rRNA from 1 species
UACGGAGGGGGCUAGCGUUGUUCGGAAUUACUGGGCGUAAAGCGCACGUAGGCGGCUUUGUAAGUUAGAGGUGAAAGCCCGGGGCUCAACUCCGGAAUUGCCUUUAAGACUGCAUCGCUAGAAUUGUGGAGAGGUAAGUGGAAUUCCGAGUGUAGAGGUGAAAUUCGUAGAGAUCGGGAAGAACAUCGGUGGCGAAGGCGCUCUACUGGACCACAACUGACACUCAGGGACGAAAGCUAGGGGAGCGAAUGGG